AUUGGGACUUCAUGGCGCUUACACCAAGCAACUGAGAUUCUAGGAUCAAGAUAAUUAGUCUUAGAUGUGCCUAACGCAGUGGUUUUUAGUUCCUUCUUCAAAUCCAUAUCUCGUUGGGUCUUCUCAAUCUUGUCAAGUGUCAGAUUGAUCUUCUUCUGCAAUCUGAAAUUCAAUAGCAAAAUACAUGAGACAACAACAUCAUUGUGCAUUCAGCUCAAAAUAGUAGUAAGUUAAGAUAAGAGAAAACCUGUCAUACAUUUCGGGGGUAAAUUUCUUCUUUGGUUUCCCAUCAUCAGCAUCCAGCUGCAGUGGAGCUUUCCCUUUUCUCACCCCGUGCAAAUUGGUUUCCAGCCCUGGUGGUUCGACUCUAAAAUUUCCAACCUGUGAAUUAUAUUUUGUCAAAUAAAACCCACAAACAAUAAUGACAUGAAAAACAAAGAAUUGAGAAACUAUUAGUUGUGAAAGGUAGACAGACCUCUCCUCCUGCUUCAGUUUUUCUUCUUUCAGGGCUUUUCUCUCCUGCAGGAAUCAACAAUUAGAUGCAUGCCGGAAAUAUACUGCAAUUCAACUGUUUCAUGUAAUCUACAAACUUACUUGUGCGCUCAACUGUUUUUUCUUGUCUUUCUCAUUCUGAUGCCAAUCGUAGAUUGGAGUGAAAUCACACGGAUGGAAUUUUUUGAUAAGGUGUUCUUUCCCAAGUAUGACUCUCCAAUCCUUCAUGAAGUUUUCUAUAAACUUUGGUUUCGCAGCAAACUCCGUGUCUUUCAUGACUGCAAACAUGGUCGCAACCUCCUCCUGUUCGGGAGUCAAUUCAACCUGUUUUCCAUUGUAGAGCAUCCUCACUCCGUGCGGCUUGUAUGGAGGUGCUAAUACAAUACCGUUGUGUGCAAAAGUAGUCCAUUUCUUUCCAGCACCGGAAUUGAGGUGUAAACCCGUCGACUUAGACCUCGUCUUUGUUAUUUUCUUUGAGUGAAGAAGAAGCCACCUUUUUAGCCAAUGCAGAAGCAGCUUCAAAUUUUUUCUUUCUCUCGGAAUCUUCUCCAAGCUGCGAUUGCUUUGAUUUAUUAGACCCCGAUGGCAGUACAGACGGGGACACCACCAUGCCGCUGUCAGAUGUUGUUGUUGUCAUCAUCUUUGAAUCAUAUUCAUGCUUGCUGUCGACAUUAGAUGAUGUUGUUGUUUUCCUUCUCUUGAAGAUUAUAGGUCCAUCAUAAUCGUGCAUGGCUUUAAAUAAAGGGAGAGAUGUUUAUGCAGAGAGAACUAUAGCUAGUAUAUCCCCUAUUUAUAUAGACACGGACUUUCCUUUUUCUUUUCACUUGUGUUUGCUUGUAUAGAAUUCGAACACUUUCCUUAUUAAGAGCCCCAGUUUUGUUUUCUCAUUAAGCCUGAAACCAGCCACCCAAUCUGAAACAGGUGCGGGAGUGGGUACCGGUGGUGGUGGUGCCGGCAACUAAAAUCUGGUACUAGUUGGUUUGAUACUUGUUGGGGACGUACACGGUUGUACGCCGCAUGAGCAACUACUGAAGAACAGCAUAAGAACUUGGAUAAAAGGGGGCCGGUUAUUGAAAGUAUUGUUGCAAGAACAGUUAGACUAGUUUAGAUCACGGAGGAGCACAUCUGUUUGGUUGGUUUGUCAGCUACAGUCCCCAAUUACAAAGGUGUGGCCUUAACUUUACGAGUUGAUCUGAAAAAAGGAAUUCCAUUUUGGCAACAGUUACAGAACAUGUCCGCUUGCUUGGAAUCACUGUGAAGAAGCCUUGACAGAGCAAUACUAGAUUCAAGAUACUGCUCUUGCUAAUGACACCCCAAGUCGUUUUCUACAAGAGGUUAGCGUAAGCAGUGAGAUUUUACAGACUGAAAUGAAUCAUGUUAGGUGCAAUGAUUCCCAGGACUUGUUGCGUAUGUGUUUGCAAUCAAUCGUGCCAGUAUGGCGGAACUAACCGUUAUCUUGACGAGGAACUUUUUGGUGAAGGUGUUGGUUUCCACUUCAAUUAUUGUGAAUGGUCCAAACUUGCGCAGAAUGGUUUGGGGUUUACGCACCUUGUGGUAUGGCCACUUCAUCUUGUUCUUCUCAGUCUUUGCAUACCGGAUUUGGAAAACUAUCAAGGAUUUUACGGUUCGGAAUUUCGUUUGAGGUCAAAUUACUCCAGUUACUUUUUGGGUUUGUUAGCUGCAUAUUGUACUGAGGAUCCAGUAGUUAGGUGACCAUGGGCAUCUCAAUUUUGAAUCUGGAUGGACAGACUGCGCUCGCUCCUUAUCGAGAUGCUUGAAAGUCAGUUUGUGUCGCCCAGGAAGGAGUAUAACACCUCCGGAGAACAAGGUAGCUAAUCAAGCACAGCUCAAAAGAGAACCGUCGAAAAAGAAACACUAAGCUCAACAAUGCUAAGCUCCCAUUAACUGAAGUUAACAAAGAGGCUUGACAACUGAAACAAAACCAAGGAACUCCUAUAACUCCCAAGUGUAAGGACAGUGUAAAAAUAAAUACUACUCUUCUGUCUCUCCCAGAACUUACAGUUUGCACCCACAAAAGUUUGCAGAGAACGGUGUUUCUGUAAUAUACAAACCAAAUUAUGCAGCGA